CUCGCCCCCCACCCCUUCUUGUUUGGCUGGUGAUACGUUCUGAGUCCUAACCUGGAUUGGAUCAGGUAGGGGGCCACUUAGCAUUAACGUGGUGAUAACUCGAUCGCACUAGCACUAAUUUGGGUAUUGUUGUUUAUGGGGAUUGAAUUAGUGUUGCUUGUACCAGUGGGCCGUGCUGUGGAAUUUACUCAGCACGGAGCAUUGUAUCUGCCGAAUUGUUUCUAUGUUAUUUGAAUGACUGCAAUGCCUCUGCCUCGCAUGGGGCAGCUUCAUGGAUGACUAGCCUAACUUUUAAUGGCUGACCCCAAAAAGGAAAACAGUGCCCUGCAAGCACAUGAAUGUUGGUAUUGGAUACAACUAUUAUGGUGUUAUCUAUCAUAGUUACUUAACAAUCUACCCUAGAAAUAGGCAGCUCAGUAGUUUCAGCAUGCAUCGUGGCUCGUGGUGUGGUUUAUACUAUAAGAUGUUAGAUUCCAUAGGCAGUAGGUGACAUAAUAAUAAUGAGUUAAUAGUACCUUCUCUUCACGAAAUUUAUCUGGUUAGUUUUGCCAUGCCAAUUAUGAGUUGCUAGAGGUAAUCUUGGGAGUUGUGAUUGAGGUUAAGGGAAGAUUACAAACUAUUUAUAGGACAGACUAAUUUAGGCAUCCACUGCUGGUUUCUGAAGCACAUUUUUGGUAGGGGUGAACUUCACCCCUUCAGUUUCCUGUACCGAACGUAUUGGUUUAUGUGCUCGUUGGUGACUGUUCAAACAAUCUUCCCCGUUAUUUGUUGAUGAGGUGCUAAUUUGGCAAGCAUUGGGAGUUGCGACUGUCAGCUGUUGACGCUAACAUGUUGUGUUGCACGCUGACCUUCCACUCUCUUUUUCAUAAGCAGGCUCUUGUAGAAACAUACUUAACCCCCUGUUAGAUACUCGUAAUUUCUUGCCCGCUAGGUUGAUUUAAACUCCUCAAAAAAAUUGAGGGUGCUGCUCAGGAAAAAGAAAGAACUAGUGGAGAUGUUUUGGGUAAUUUUCUAAUCACAUUUUGCUUUAAAUUUUGUUUACUGGUAUGUCAAUUACUCUACCCUGAAGUGACAUUUCUGACAGAGGUGGUAUUUGAACAUCAGUACAUUGCCAGAUUAUAACUUAUUUUAUCAUAGGAAUUUAUGGAAGCAAAACAAUUUUCUUGAACUUCCUUAGUCAUCAUCUUAUACCAAACUAAAGGCGUAUUAGUUUUUUCAACCUAAGGCUUGUGGUGGCUCAUGGCUUGUGCUUUAAAACUCAAUAAAUUCAGUUUGGUGAUGCUGUUGUGAAAUCAUUGCGGCACAGACGCUUUUGUCCUGUUUGAUAAAAUGAAUGGAAACUUAAUUAUUAAGUACUUCAACAAACACAUGGAUUGAUUAUGUUGAUAACACCAUAGUUUCAUAGUUUUCAGAAUAUUUUCUCACCUGGACCAACUCAAAGCCUGAAAUGCUGACCAUCUUUGUCCUAUUUAAAACGGUCCUAGCAUUUCAUAUUCUACUGUCUAUUGGUCAGGCUGCUGACUCCUUCGGCUGAAGUAGUUCAUUGGGCCUAUUUUUGGGCAAAAAUCAACCACAAUUAUGUAUCUCUAAAGUAAAAUCCGCAUAAUUGCACUGCAAAUAUGAUCUGCUUUCAGUAACUGUAAUAUGUACAGCUAAACCUUUAAAAUGUAGCGCUGUGUUUGGAUGUCUGUAUUGAAGGCCUUCAUAUUGAAUUGGUUUCAAUUUCAAUUCAGGGAGGAAACUGUAAUGGACAUGAAUACGAGUUCACAUGUUUGGAUGCUCAUGGAAUUGGGCCUUGGAAUCUCAAUGAGUUUUCAAUACCAAAUCAUGUUCGGAUGACAAACUAUGGAAUUGCUUAUGCUUUGUGCUUUAUGCAUCAAAUCAAAAUCUAUACAAUGUGACCUGCAAAAGAUGAAUCUGUGGUUAGUACAUUCAUGUGCAUGGAGAGCAGGGGAAGAAUAGGAACAGGGGAAGAAUGGGAAAAGGGGAAGAGGAGGAACUUAGAAGGGGCUGCCUGGGCAAGUAAAGAAGAGAAACAGGGGGAUCCGGGGAAGGGGGAAGAAGAUGGAAGAGGAAGUGGAAGAAAAGAAAAUGGCAGAAAAGAAGUGGAAGAAGAAGAUGGGCAGGAUGGGGGGCGGGGGGGGGUUUCACCGACCAGCGGGAUGGAGGGCGCCGGGCAGCUAGAUGCAGGGGGAAACGUGCGGCAGUUGCGCGGGCUUGAAGGUCCGCCGCCACCGGACAGGGGAGGAGGGGCAGGGACCGGGGAUCCAUACCUGCGUCGCCGCCUCCUCAAGCUUCCGUCUCAAGCGGGGAGGAAAGGGCAGGUCUCACGUGGGGACGAAAGGGGCAGGCCGCCGCUGCCUCCUGAAGCGUUGCGUUUUGGGGGAUCAGCUCAAUUCAACCCAAAUCGGAGCCCCAGACCUCUGUAUUGCGGGAUGGCUACGCUAGUGGACGCGAUUUCCACACUGUAUUGGGCUCGUUUCGGUCCGCUCGUUUCUGUAAACAUCCGAAAGCCUGAAUUGGCAAGUAGCCAAUACCAAAUCCAAUACAAAGGCUCUAAUUCAGACAUCCGAACACAGUGUAGAUAUAUUUGUUAGCUAUAGUGCUAUAGCAAUUCUAAAAAUCUAUACCGAUCUUUUAAAUAUUUCCCAAAAUGAGCUUUAGUACUUGAGUUAUUCUCUGGAAACUUUGUCGUGGGCUAUAUCCGUUUCCUAGAGGAAAUUCUAUUUCCCUGCAACCCUGCCGCCACGGGUGUAAGCUGUUCAUCCAAAAUUCCGAAUAGAUGGUUUGUACUUGACAGCCAUCCUUGAAUGUAUUAUACAAAUAAGCAUCAAUAUAUGCUUGUGGCAUACUUCCCCCGAUCCAAAAUUAUGUCCUUUAGGAUAUUGUAAGUCUUCAAGCUAGUACUUCGACCAUCAGUUUUUGUGCGAAUAUGUUGCCUCACAUUAAAGUAAUUAUACAUUAUAAAAGUAUAUUUCAUGAUAGAUCUUGUAAUAUCAAUUUGAUGUUUAAUUUAAUAUACUAAGUAAAUCUUACCGGGCGGCAGGCCUGGUUAGCAAUCAUAAAUCUUCUCUAAUAGACAGUCAAACUUAUAAAUGUAUAAAUGUUUGACUAACGAAAAA